AUGCUUGUUUUUUCUCUUGUCAUUUCAUCUUCAACCCUCUUCGUAUUUAUAAUCUCCUAAACAUACUCUGCAAAACCAAGAAGAAGAAAAAAAACAUUGCAAUAGCUCAUGUUUGUCUUUCUUUUCAUUUCCAUAUCCGCAAAAUCAAGUUAUUAAGGAAACAAUGAUUUCAGAAACCGGUUUAAGAGUAAGUACACGCCUCUUGUUACCUAACCUAUGCAUCAAUUCGUGUUCAAUCAUAUACUUGUUUUGAUUUCUUCUCUCUUUUGGUUUCCCUUAUGGUUUGGCUCUUUUGAGGUAGAGUUUGGUAUUGGGGCGCUAUUGGUAAACAAAGACGAGAUAUUGGUGCGGUUCAAUCAGAAACUUGUACUCUUUUUAUUUUAGAGAUCAGUUUGUUUGAUUGAGCCGUGCCAAUAUCACGUGUUUAAAUAAAACUCCAUGUUAGCAUAUAUGUAUAAUCAAGGCUCUUAACUUCGGAUAAACAAGAAAAGACAAGAAAACUCAAAUACAUUUUGCGAGAAGAUAUUGCUAUAUAUUAGUAACAAUGAUUUAUAAAGAAAAUAAGAAAAGCUACACUGUAGUGAAAUGUUAAAGAAGUAGAACUGCUUCUACAAUAAAGUAUAAACUAGUUUAAAGAGACUAAUGUAUCUCACUUUUGUAAAAAUGUCCGACUAAUGAAAUUUUGUUGUAUAUUUUGCUGAAGUUCUGAGUUAGUUUAUACUCUUAUUCGACCAUGAAUGAAAUGUGUCCAUAUAUUCUUUGUUAA